UAUUCAUUAGAAGAACUUGAUCUUAGUGAUAACAACUUCAUCAGCAUACCUUCUUCUCUUACUCGUCUUUCCAAUCUUGAAGUUCUUUGAUUCUCGAAUUGCAAGGAGCUUAAACCGUUGCCUGAACUUCUAACAAGUAUACGAUCUGUGUGGACAGAUUGGCUGAGAACAUCGACGCCUUAACAUUGCUGAAAAACCAUCUAAAGGUUCGUUAAUAUCUUUGUUUCUUUUACAGUCUCAUAAUUAUUCAUGGUGUUAGUUACCAAACAAUUAACAACUAGAGUUUUAUUUUGGAGGUAUUUGGAAAUUCAAGAGAUGUAUUUGAUAUUAUUAUCUCUGGAACUAAAAACCCGAAUGGUUUAGUCAACAAAGAGGUGACUCUUCGAUUAAGAUAGAUUUGCCUCUGGAAGUUUGAAUGAUAGUCAAUGGAUGGGAGUUGUUUCGUGCUGCGUUUUUGUCAGUGAUGAUGCUUCAAGGGCUGAGGAACUCGUGUGCAGACUCAAUGUGGGUUUGGAUGAGCGAUUGGGUGCUGUGCGGGUAGAAAUCCUCGAGAGGCCAAGUGGGGUAUCUGUGCUUUACCGCCUGAUAAACAUCCCGUAAUGAAGGACCACGUUUUCAUUCGUUAUUUCUCACGUGACGAGUUGUAUCUGAUUUCCUUGAAACACAAAUGUGGUGGAUGUGAAACCGAUAAUUUAUGGCCAACAGAUUGCUUAGAUCAGGAACUUGAGUUGUCUUUCGAAGUAGGGAUUUACAUAGCCAGUGUUAAGGUGAAGAAGUGUGGUGCUAGAUUAGUGUAUGAGAGAGAUUUGGAAGAGCUGGAACAAAUACAAGAGCUGCAUAGUAGUCAGUGUUGUGCGAAUUUUGAAGAUAUCCAGCAAUACUCUGCUGAUGCGGGAUCAAUAGGCAAUAAAGCGAAAACGUAAUAUCUACGAGGAGAUGGAUGAAGGGCCGCAACCAAAACGAAUUCACAAAAUUUUUACAUUUCUUUUAAUUUUAAUUUUGAUUUUUUUUAUAGUUUUUGAAUUAUUUUUUAACAUUAUAUAUAAAAUAAAUUAUAUUAUGUUAGCAUGAUAUGC